UGGGACUUCUCAUCUUCUGGUGUCUUCUCCGGGCUGAAGAUUGACCCUGAUACUCUAGUAAAAAAGCUUGACUUGGACUCCAGAAGCAUCAUUUCCUUCAGAACAGGUUUAGGAGAAAAAAAAGU